UGCAGUCGAACGGUGAAGCCAAGCUUGCUUGGUGGAUCAGUGGCGAACGGGUGAGUAACACGUGAGCAACCUGCCCUGGACUCUGGGAUAAGCGCUGGAAACGGCGUCUAAUACUGGAUAUGAGCCUCUUCCGCAUGGUGGGGGUUGGAAAGAUUUUUUGGUCUGGGAUGGGCUCGCGGCCUAUCAGCUUGUUGGUGAGGUAAUGGCUCACCAAGGCGUCGACGGGUAGCCGGCCUGAGAGGGUGACCGGCCACACUGGGACUGAGACACGGCCCAGACUCCUACGGGAGGCAGCAGUGGGGAAUAUUGCACAAUGGGCGAAAGCCUGAUGCAGCAACGCCGCGUGAGGGAUGACGGCCUUCGGGUUGUAAACCUCUUUUAGCAGGGAAGAAGCGAAAGUGACGGUACCUGCAGAAAAAGCGCCGGCUAACUACGUGCCAGCAGCCGCGGUAAUACGUAGGGCGCAAGCGUUAUCCGGAAUUAUUGGGCGUAAAGAGCUCGUAGGCGGUUUGUCGCGUCUGCUGUGAAAUCCCGAGGCUCAACCUCGGGCCUGCAGUGGGUACGGGCAGACUAGAGUGCGGUAGGGGAGAUUGGAAUUCCUGGUGUAGCGGUGGAAUGCGCAGAUAUCAGGAGGAACACCGAUGGCGAAGGCAGAUCUCUGGGCCGUAACUGACGCUGAGGAGCGAAAGGGUGGGGAGCAAACAGGCUUAGAUACCCUGGUAGUCCACCCCGUAAACGUUGGGAACUAGUUGUGGGGACC
rnacentral:rRNA from 1 species